rnacentral:misc_RNA from 1 species
GAUGAAGAACGCAGCGAAAUGCGAUAAGUAAUGCGAAUUGCAGAAUUCCAGUGAGUCAUCGAAUCUUUGAACGCACAUUGCGCCCAUUGGUAUUCCGAUGGGCAUGCCUGUUCGAGCGUCAUUAUCAACCCUCAGGCCCCCGGGCCUGGCGUUGGGGAUCGGCGGAGCCCCCCGUGGGCACACGCCGUCCCCCAAAUGCAGUGGCGGUCCCGCCGCAGCUUCCAUCGCGUAGUAGCUAACACCUCGCGACUGGAGAGCGGCGCGGCCACGCCGUAAAACACCCAACUCUUCUGAAGUUGACCUCGAAUCAGGUAGGAAUACCCGCUGAACUUAAGCAUAUCAAUAAGCGGAGGA